AGCUUGCUAGAGAUGAUUAGUGGCGGACGGGUGAGUAACAUUUAGGAAUCUGCCUAGUAGUGGGGGAUAGCUCGGGGAAACUCGAAUUAAUACCGCAUACGACCUACGGGUGAAAGGGGGCGCAAGCUCUUGCUAUUAGAUGAGCCUAAAUCAGAUUAGCUAGUUGGUGGGGUAAAGGCCCACCAAGGCGACGAUCUGUAACUGGUCUGAGAGGAUGAUCAGUCACACCGGAACUGAGACACGGUCCGGACUCCUACGGGAGGCAGCAGUGGGGAAUAUUGGACAAUGGGGGCAACCCUGAUCCAGCCAUGCCGCGUGUGUGAAGAAGGCCUUUUGGUUGUAAAGCACUUUAAGCAGGGAGGAGAGGCUAAUGGUUAAUACCCAUUAGAUUAGACGUUACCUGCAGAAUAAGCACCGGCUAACUCUGUGCCAGCAGCCGCGGUAAUACAGAGGGUGCGAGCGUUAAUCGGAAUUACUGGGCGUAAAGCGAGUGUAGGUGGCUCAUUAAGUCACAUGUGAAAUCCCCGGGCUUAACCUGGGAACUGCAUGUGAUACUGGUGGUGCUAGAAUAUGUGAGAGGGAAGUAGAAUUCCAGGUGUAGCGGUGAAAUGCGUAGAGAUCUGGGGGAAUACCGAUGGCGAAGGCAGCUUCCUGGCAUAAUAUUGACACUGAGAUUCGAAAGCGUGGGUAGCAAACAGGAUUAGAUACCCUGGUAGUCCACGCCGUAAACGAUGUCUACUAGCCGUUGGGGUCCUUGAGACUUUAGUGGCGCAGUUAACGCGAUAAAGUAGACCGCCUGGGGGAGUACGGCCGCAAGGUUAAAACUCAAAUGAAUUGACGGGGGCCCGCACAAGCGGUGGAGCAUGUGGUUUAAUUCGAUGCAACGCGAAGAAACCUUACCUGGUCUUG
rnacentral:rRNA from 1 species